rnacentral:rRNA from 1 species
CCUACGGGCGGCAGCAGUGGGGAAUAUUGCGCAAUGGGCGAAAGCCUGACGCAGCAACGCCGCGUGCGGGAUGACGGCCUUCGGGUUGUAAACCGCUUUCAGCAGGGACGAAGGGUUUCUGACGGUACCUGCAGAAGAAGCACCGGCUAACUACGUGCCAGCAGCCGCGGUGAUACGUAGGGUGCGAGCGUUGUCCGGAAUUAUUGGGCGUAAAGAGCUUGUAGGCGGUCCGUUGCGUCGGAAGUGAAAACUCGGGGCUUAACCCCGAGCCUGCUUUCGAUACGGGCGGACUUGAGGGAUGUAGGGGAGAACGGAAUUCCUGGUGGAGCGGUGGAAUGCGCAGAUAUCAGGAGGAACACCAGUGGCGAAGGCGGUUCUCUGGACAUUUCCUGACGCUGAGAAGCGAAAGCGUGGGGAGCAAACAGGCUUAGAUACCCGAGUAGUC